AGAGUUUGAUUCUGGCUCAGAACGAACGCUGGCGGCGUGGAUAAGACAUGCAAGUCGAACGAGAGAAUUGCUAGCUUGCUAAUAAUUCUCUAGUGGCGCACGGGUGAGUAACACGUGAGUAACCUGCCCCCAAGAGUGGGAUAGCCCCGGGAAACUGGGAUUAAUACCGCAUAAAAUCGCAAGAUUAAAGCAGCAAUGCGCUUGGGGAUGGGCUCGCGUCCUAUUAGUUAGUUGGUGAGGUAACGGCUCACCAAGGCGAUGACGGGUAGCCGGUCUGAGAGGAUGUCCGGCCACACUGGAACUGAGACACGGUCCAGACACCUACGGGUGGCAGCAGUCGAGAAUCAUUCACAAUGGGGGAAACCCUGAUGGUGCGACGCCGCGUGGGGGAAUGAAGGUCUUCGGAUUGUAAACCCCUGUCAUGUGGGAGCAAAUUAAAAAGAUAGUACCACAAGAGGAAGAGACGGCUAACUCUGUGCCAGCAGCCGCGGUAAUACAGAGGUCUCAAGCGUUGUUCGGAAUCACUGGGCGUAAAGCGUGCGUAGGCGGUUUCGUAAGUCGUGUGUGAAAGGCGGGGGCUCAACCCCCGGACUGCACAUGAUACUGCGAGACUAGAGUAAUGGAGGGGGAACCGGAAUUCUCGGUGUAGCAGUGAAAUGCGUAGAUAUCGAGAGGAACACUCGUGGCGAAGGCGGGUUCCUGGACAUUAACUGACGCUGAGGCACGAAGGCCAGGGGAGCGAAAGGGAUUAGAUACCCCUGUAGUCCUGGCAGUAAACGGUGCACGCUUGGUGUGCGGGGAAUCGACCCCCUGCGUGCCGGAGCUAACGCGUUAAGCGUGCCGCCUGGGGAGUACGGUCGCAAGAUUAAAACUCAAAGAAAUUGACGGGGACCCGCACAAGCGGUGGAGUAUGUG
rnacentral:rRNA from 1 species